GCUCAGUAGCUGGCCAGAGUAGAUCAGUUUUUGCUCAUCGGCACUCUAGGAAAAAGAACAAAACAAUUAUUAAAUGUAGCUUCGUUCCGUCGAUCGAUUUUUUAAUUUGCCUCAUCCUACAACAUCUGUGGCUCGAUUUGAAUAAAACAAUCAUAUUUGGUGAAUUGCUGCUUCGCCACGUAGCUCUUAUUUAAUCAGACUUCGUUAUCAGUUGAGACGCAACACAUAACUGAUACGCGAAUGUUUUUUUUAAACUGCAUUUUCUACUCCUAACAGUGUCACUUUUAGGUGUACUCACAGUACACAAGUAACCAUAUUGGAUGAAAGUCAUGGCACAAAUAUUCUUUUAAACUAGUCGAUUCGGUGUAGGAUAUAAAAACCAUAAAGUUCAUUUUUGUUUUGAGUAGAAUCCGCAAAGCAAUUCAUUGCUGUGUGCGAGCGUCACAUCGAAUCGGCUACGACUUCGACGCGAAUGGUUUACCGGGAUGAACUUCCGUCAGGUGCCCUUUAAGUCGCCGGAUGGACCAAGUUGGUUCGCACUUGAUCGUCUGGUCAUCGAACUGCUGGUUCGUGGCUUUCACAAUCAGUGUGAUAUCCAUGAUGCAACUUCGACCGCUCAGAAUGAGUCAGAAUCUGUCAGAUUGCAGGUAGGUAGCAGGCGAUGAAUAAUAAUUCUGCUUGAUGGACAGAUUUUUGUUCUAAUUUUAGGUCGGACUUUGAUGGUGUUCUUGCAACGCGAGGUCAGAGCAAAACGAAAGCCUUUCUCGAACAACACUUCACUUUGUAAUAACAAAAAAACGAUAAGCAAGCAGUAGGAGACCUUUCACUGUUA